rnacentral:rRNA from 1 species
AUUGAACGCUGGCGGCAGGCCUAACACAUGCAAGUCGAACGAGUGGCGGACGGGUGAGUAAUGUCUGGGCAACUGCCUGAUGGAUGGGGAUAACUACUGGAAACUGUAGCUAAUACCGCCUACCUUCAGCUGUGCCCAGAUGGGAUUAGCUUGUUGGUGGGGUAACGGCUCACCAAGGCGCCGAUCCCUAGCUGGUAUGAGAGGAUGACCAGCCACACUGGAACUGAGACACGGGCCAGACUCCUACGGGAGGCAGCAGUGGGGAAUAUUGGACAAUGGGCGAAAGCCUGAUGCAGCCAGGCCGCGUGUAUGAAGAAGGCCUUCGGGUUGUAAAGUACUUUCAGCGGGGAGGCGUUACCCGCAGAAGAAGCACCGGCUAACUCCGUGCCAGCAGCCGCGGUAAUUC